GAUGAACGCUGGCGGCGUGCUUAAUACAUGCAAGUCGAGCGAACGGACGCGAAGUUUGCUUCUCUGAUGUUAGCGGCGGACGGGUGUGUCACACGUGGAUACCCUACCUAUCAGUCUGGGAUAACUUCGGGAAACCGGAGCUUAUACCGGAUAAUCUUCUGAACCGCAUGGUUCAUAAGUGAAAGACGGUCUUGCUGUCACUUAUAGAUGGAUCUGCGCUGCAUUAGCUAGUUGGUAAGUUAAAGGCUUACCAAGGCAACGAUGCAUAGCCGACGUGAGAGAGUGAUCGGCCACACUGGAACGGAGACGCGGACCAGACUACUACGAGACGCAGCAGUAGGGAAUCUUCCGCAAUAGGCGAAAACCUGACAGAGCAACGCCACGUGAGUGGUGAAAGUCUUCGGAUCGUAAAACUCUGUUAUUAGUGAAGAACAUAUUUGUAAGUAACUGUACACAUCUUGACGGUACCUAGUCAAAAAGCCACGGCUAACUACGCG
rnacentral:rRNA from 1 species